AAAUUUUUGACCGUAAAUUGGCGGCGUGCGUGAAUAUUAGCACUUUUGCUCCAAUUGUGGCUAAACGGCAACGCUGGUUGUAGGGUGGAUCAGAUACAAGCGCCUAUCUGAUAGAUACGAAGGUCAGUUGGCGCCCGCAUGCCGAACUGAUAACUGGAAAGUUGCAAAGUCUUAUAUUUCCGCGCAUAUGUACAUAAACCCACAUUCAUACAUUCAUACAUCUGUGUUUACUAUAGGCAUACAACAGUGAAAUAAUGUGAGGAAAACAUAGAUCACACUUUGAAAUACAUUUUUUAUACAGUGCAGUGGAAGCCAAACAAAAAAGUAGGUGCUCAUAACUUUAUAUGAAAUACGCGUUGUGAAAGCGGUCAUGCAAACUGGUUCCGAGAUAUUUUAUUGGUGCGCUCACGGUUCUUUGUUGCGUCGUUUUCGCUGGCGGUUUCGACAUCGGAUUUCAGGUGUUUUAUUAUGACACUCAAAUAUAUGUAACUAAAUUUUAUUAAAUAAAUUUCAAUGAAUUAUACAAU